rnacentral:rRNA from 1 species
UACGAAGGGUGCAAACGUUGCUCGGAAUCAUUGGGCGUAAAGCGCACGUAGGCGCCUUGUAAGUCGGAUGUGAAAUCCCACGGCUUAACCGUGGAAGUGCAUCCGAAACUGCGAGGCUCGAGUAUGGAAGAGGGUCGCAGAAUUCCCGGUGUAGAGGUGAAAUUCGUAGUUAUCGGGAGGAAUACCAGUGGCGAAGGCGGCGACCUGGGCCAAUACUGACGCUGAGGUGCGAAAGCGUGGGGAGCAAACAGG